AGAGUUUGAUCCUGGCUCAGGGUGAACGCUGGCGGCGCGCCUAAUGCAUGCAAGUCGAGCGUGUUCCGGUGACUUCGGUUGCCGGGAAAAGCGGCAGACGGCUGAGUAACGCGUGAGUAACCUGCCCUUCGGUGGGGUAUAACCUCGAGAAAUUGGGGAUAAUCCCGCAUACGAUCUCUCCCCCCUGGGGGAAGGAUGAAAGCCUUCGGGCGCCGGAGGAGGGGCUCGCGUCCUAUCAGGUAGUUGGUGAGGUAAUGGCUCACCAAGCCGAUGACGGGUAGCUGGUCUGAGAGGACGACCAGCCAGAGGGGGACUGAGACACGGCCCCCACUCCUACGGGAGGCAGCAGCAGGGAAUUUUGGGCAAUGGACGAAAGUCUGACCCAGCGACGUCGCGUGGGGGAUGAAGGCCCUAGGGCUGUAAACCCCUUUUCCGAGGGAAGAGGAAGGACGGUACCUCGGGAAUAAGCUCCGGCUAACUACGUGCCAGCAGCCGCGGUAAUACGUAGGGAGCGAGCGUUACCCGGAAUCACUGGGCGUAAAGAGAGCGUAGGCGGCUGGGUAAGUCUCUUGUGAAAGCUCCCGGCUUAACUGGGAGAGGUCAAGGGAUACUACUCGGCUGGAGGGCAGUAGAGGUAAGCGGAAUUCCC
rnacentral:rRNA from 1 species